UACAGAGGGUGCGAGCGUUGUCCGGAAUCACUGGGCGUAAAGGGCGCGUAGGUGGCCUGAUAAGUAGGGGGUGAAAUCUCGCGGCUCAACUGCGAGGCUGCCUCCUAAACUGUCGGGCUCGAGCAGAGUAGAGGCAGGUGGAAUUCCCGGUGUAGCGGUGGAAUGCGUAGAGAUCGGGAAGAACAUCGGUGGCGAAGGCGGCCUGCCGGGCUCUUGCUGACACUGAGGCGCGACAGCGUGGGGAGCAAACAGG
rnacentral:rRNA from 1 species